UGGGAACUGCGUUNUGAACUGGGUGACUAGAGUGUGUCAGAGGGAGGUAGAAUUCCACGUGUAGCAGUGAAAUGCGUAGAGAUGUGGAGGAAUACNGAUGGCGAAGGCAGCCUCCUGGGAUAACACUGACGUUCAUGCCCGAAAGCGUGGGUAGCAAACAGGAUUAGAUACCCUGGUAGUNCACGCCCUAAACGAUGUCGAUUAGCUGUUGGGCAGCAUGACUGCUUAGUAGCGAAGCUAACGCGUGAAAUCGACCGCCUGGGGAGUACGGUCGCAAGAUUAAAACUCAAAGGAAUUGACGGGGACCCGCACAAGCGGUGGAUGAUGUGGAUUAAUUCGAUGCAACGCGAAGAACCUUACCUGGUCUUGACAUGUACGGAACCCUCCAGAGACGGAGGGGUGCCUUCGGGAGCCGUAACACAGGUGCUGCAUGGCUGUCGUCAGCUCGUGUCGUGAGAUGUUGGGUNNANNAANNNNANCGAGCGCAACCCUUGUCAUUAGUUGCCAUCAUUAAGUUGGGCACUCUAAUGAGACUGCCGGUGACAAGCNGGAGGAAGGUGGGGAUGACGUCAAGUCCUCAUGGCCCUUAUGACCAGGGCUUCACACGUCAUACAAUGGUCGGUACAGUGGGUAGCCAAGCCGCGAGGUGGAGCCAAUCUCACAAAACCGAUCGUAGUCCGGAUUGCACUCUGCAACUCGAGUGCAUGAAGUCGGAAUCGCUAGUAAUCGCAGGUCAGCAUACUGCGGUGAAUACGUUCCCGGGU
rnacentral:rRNA from 1 species